rnacentral:rRNA from 1 species
UACGUAGGGCGCGAGCGUUGUCCGGAAUUAUUGGGCGUAAAGAGCUCGUAGGCGGUCUGUUGCGUCGGCUGUGAAAACCCGGGGCUCAACCCCGGGCCUGCAGCCGAUACGGGCAGACUAGAGUUCGGCAGGGGAGACUGGAAUUCCUGGUGUAGCGGUGAAAUGCGCAGAUAUCAGGAGGAACACCGGUGGCGAAGGCGGUUCUCUGGGCAUUACCUGACGCUGAGGAGCGAAAGUGUGGGGAGCGAACAGG